rnacentral:rRNA from 1 species
AACGAACGCUGGCGGCGUGCCUAACACAUGCAAGUCGAGCGAGAAAGCCCGCAAGGGUGAGUAAAGCGGCGCACGGGUGCGUAACACGUGGGUAAUCUGCCCUGAAGUCCGGAAUAACUCGCCGAAAGGCGUGCUAAUGCCGGAUAAGACCACGGGAACCUCGGUUCCUGCGGGAAAAGGUGGCCUCUGUACACAAGCUAUCACUUCAGGAUGAGCCCGCGGCCCAUCAGCUAGUUGGCGGGGUAAUGGCCCACCAAGGCUACGACGGGUAGCUGGUCUAAGAGGACGAUCAGCCACACGGGAACUGAGACACGGUCCAGCGUCUUACGGGAGGCAGCAGUGGGGAAUCUGUCGCAAUGGGCGAAAGCCUGACGCAGCAACGCCGCGUGUGUGAUGAAGGUCUUCAGAUCGUAAAGCACUGUCGGGAGGGACGAAUAGGGCGCCGGCUAACAUCCGGCGCUGAUGACGGUACCUCCAAAGGAAGCACCGGCUAACUCUGUGCCAGCCGCCGCCGUAAAAC